rnacentral:rRNA from 1 species
AACGAACGCUGGCGGCAGGCCUAACACAUGCAAGUCGAGCGAGACCUUCGGGUCUAGCGGCGGACGGGUUAGUAACGCGUGGGAACGUACCCUUCUCUAAGGAAUAGCCACUGGAAACGGUGAGUAAUACCUUAUACGCCCUUCGGGGGAAAGAUUUAUCGGAGAAGGAUCGGCCCGCGUAAGAUUAGAUAGUUGGUGGGGUAAUGGCCUACCAAGUCUACGAUCUUUAGCUGGUUUUAGAGGAUGAUCAGCAACACUGGGACUGAGACACGGCCCAGACUCCUACGGGAGGCAGCAGUGGGGAAUCUUAGACAAUGGGCGCAAGCCUGAUCUAGCCAUGCCGCGUGUGUGACGAAGGCCUUAGGGUCGUAAAGCACUUUCGCCUGUGAUGAUAAUGACAGUAGCAGGUAAAGAAACCCCGGCUAACUCCGUGCCAGCAGCCGCGGUAAUACGGAGGGGGUUAGCGUUGUUCGGAAUUACUGGGCGUAAAGCGCACGUAGGCGGAUUGGAAAGUAUGGGGUGAAAUCCCAGGGCUCAACCCUGGAACUGCCUCAUAAACUUCCAGUCUAGAGUUCGAGAGAGGUGAGUGGAAUUCCGAGUGUAGAGGUGAAAUUCGUAGAUAUUCGGAGGAACACCAGUGGCGAAGGCGGCUCACUGGCUCGAUA